GUCAGUUCGUUACUGCAAGGCCAAGGAAGAGUCAGUGGUUGGAGGAGCUGCCUACGAGAAACAUCAAGAAGGGCAGUGGGAAGGAGCUUUUCCUGAGAGCAACUUGAGAAGUCCAAGGUGGAGCAGCUUGGGCAGCAGCACCCACCAGGAAUUAGAGCUUCCUUCAGCGAGACUGAGUGCAAGAGAAGGAGCCAGUGCUGCAUGGCAAAGACAGAAGGAGUCUGACUGGGCUUUCCAAAGGUGCUAAGAGACAUAAGUUCCAAGAAUACAUCACUCCUUUCUUCUUUCUUCUUUCAAGAAAACAAGCGCUCUGUGUUUGUGGGGGUCUCCAGUUCACUCCCAGGGAAGUGCAGCUGUGAUUCAGAGCAGUUUCCUCAGCUCUCAGCACCGGGGUUGUUUAACCUUGAGGCUGCUGUGCUGUAUCAGUGGUGAUGCCUCAUGUGCAAAUGUGCUGCUUUGAAAUGCAGAGCCUGCACCUCCUGUGUCCUACCUUGCAGACUGCACUCCGUUUUCUGGAAGGUACUUGUGAUUUCUGGGUUCCUCUUCUGACUUAGACAUUGAUUCACUGUCUGGCCUUAGGGUGAAACUUGAUUUCUUGAGCCUUGCAGGAAAGGGUAACCUUCAAAUCCAGCAUCUUUGACUGGCAAGGGGCUGCAGACCCUCAAGGCCUUUUCUUGGCUGCCCAGCAUGGAGGCAGCAAUUUCAGAGUGCUGCUUUUUGUAACAAAAUCUCCGGGUCUGCAGCUUUUCACCAUGGAGUUGAGAGCUAAAAUUCAACAUCUGAGUAAAGCCAAAGCUUCUGGAUUGAAGCUGAAGCCAAGGAGCAUGAGCCAGGGAAACCAGACCCAGAGUCCCAGACACCAAAACCACAGGGAUGUGGAACUUUAGUCUCCCAACCAGCCAGAUAAUGUAAAGGCCCUGCAGAUACAUAGAAGCUUAGAAUCAGGGAUUUAUUGUUGGGUGUUCAAAUAAUGUCUGGAUGGACCUUGAAUUCAGAGCUGGUCCUGCAAAUAAGCCCAGCUCGCUAACAGCGACAGCCAUGAAAAUGAAUGAUUUGGCUUCACCCAAAAUGAUGGAUAAUCCUGCUGGAAGAGCAUGACAAUGAUAGACAGACAUCUUCUGAAGGAGAAGAUCACUCCAAGAUAUGAUUUGCUGAAAAUGUAUGCAUGCUUUUCAGGUUUUUGAUGCACAGGUAACUCCACCAUAGCCCCUGUUAGAUGUUAAAUGCUGCAAAUUCCAUCUGAGAUGCACUGAGACAAGAAGUCACUGCCCACCAGUGCUCCUGGGAUGUGCCACACAAGGAAGUGCCUUGAAGUUUUCACAGGACAUGAAUAAGGGGCAGGAGGACGAUCACUGCAUGCCAAAGUGAGUCUUUCCUUCAGAUCUGACUGGAUUUCACGCUGAUUUAUCAGUGCACUGUCUGCAGGCAGCAUUCUUGAGUUAUCCAGAGUUUCUUGGCACAGAGGAGUUUCUGCAUAUGCAGUUUUUGUUUGACAAGGGUUCUCCACUGUCUUUCCCCAACUGCCCACUUCAGAAUCCAAAAUAUCUGUAAAAUGCUCUGUAUUUUUCCAUGAUGUGCCAGUUCUCACCAGCUGUGAUUUUCCAAUAGAGUGAUGCACUAUAAGGCAGCCAACUGACUUGUAAAAGGAUAUGAGUUUGUGUGCCAAGGAGUUUAGCAUAAUGUUUCAACUGCAAAUAUAAAACACAAAGUCAGAAGAGAAGAAAUUCAAAAGUAUAUAAAUAUGAUAUGUAUAAAUAUUUUUUAUUUUGUUUCAAAUUUUAUUUUACUCUGCUGUGUACAUGGCAUCUGAGACACACUGAACAUUUUUAGCACAUAAGAAGUAAUUCACUUAGUUUAUGGACACAAAGCAGUGUAUAAACCAUGUAGCUCAAUAAAUGCUUUGUUUCCAAUUCUUAUGUGCAUGACAUAUCUGGAAUUAUUCCAGAAAUUCAUAUCAAGGUAAGUCCUGCCAGCAGAAUGAAGCUACAACAGAAGCUUUGGGUAACUGGUGGCACCUUUACCAGCAGUGCAGGGGGAAUGUGCUUUAGCACCAUGCCUGUGCCUCGUGUUCACACCUCUCCUCAAGGCCAUACCAAAGUGCCACUGCUUAACCAGUGUCCCCAUUGCCCAGGGGAGCUGUCUCACAGG